GUUCCAAUGGCCAGAGUCUACAGAAUCUCUCUCCACAGCGUUCCAAUGGCCAGAGUCUACAGAAUCUCUCUCCACAGCAGGUUCCAAUGGCCAGUAUCUACAGAAUCUCUCUCCACAGCGUUCCAAUGGCCAGAGUCUACAGAAUCUCUCUCCACAGCAGGUUCCAAUGGCCAGAGUCUACAGAAUCUCUCUCCACAGCAGGUUCCAAUGGCCAGAGUCUACAGAAUCUCUCUCCACAGCGUUCCAAUGGCCAGAGUCUACAGAAUCUCUCUCCACAGCGUUCCAAUGGCCAGUAUCUACAGAACCACUAAAGAUUGUUUACGAUACGCCAGCCUUCAUCUUAAAUGGACAUGUUUGGUCUCAGUGAUAUUCCUCGUGGUCACAACAUAAAAGCUACUGCUUAAAGAAAUCCUUCAUGUCAUUAUUUGUUGCGUGUACAAUGGCGCCAUGAAAGCAUGUGAUAAAUUUGACUCUGAACUGAAAUUCAGUCAAUCAACAGUGUUAACAAAAUUUGUUGAAAUAUUUUUCAUUAUGGAAGUUUGGUCAUUGCAGCCAACUAGCAUAGAACAUUAGAAACAUUGAGUACGUUUACAUGCACACAAAUAAUGUGAUAUUUAAUUUUUUAUUUUAUUUAACUAGGCAAGUCAGUUAAGAACAAAUUCUUAUUUACAAUGACGACCUACUGGGGAACAGUGGGUUAACUGCCUUGUUCAGGGGGCAGAACGACAGAUUUUUACCUUGUCAGCUCAGGGAUUCAAUCCAGCAACCUUUCAGUUACUGGCAACAACGGUCUAACCACUAGGCUACCUACCGCCCCACCACUCUAACCACUAGGCUACCUGCCUCCCC
rnacentral:lncRNA from 1 species